rnacentral:rRNA from 1 species
UACGGGGGGGGGCAAGCGUUGUUCGGAAUUACUGGGCGUAAAGGGCUCGUAGGCGGCCAACUAAGUCAGACGUGAAAUCCCUAGGCUCAACCUAGGAACUGCGUCUGAUACUGGAUGGCUUGAAUCCGGGAGAGGGAUGCAGAAUUCCAGGUGUAGCGGUGAAAUGCGUAGAUAUCUGGAGGAAUACCGGUGGCGAAGGCGGCAUCCUGGACCGGCAUUGACGCUGAGGAGCGAAAAGCCAGGGGAGCAAAGCGGG